rnacentral:lncRNA from 1 species
UACAACAAGAAAACUGUAACAAUAUAAUCAACGAAAUGACUGUUGUCUCAUUUAUUCAUCAUACAUAAUUGUUCUACCACAAAAGUUUUAUUACAUUAUUAGAAAAAGAAAAAGACAAGAACAGACAGUCUGGACGAGGACACAACACAACACACACACAUACAUUUACAUGUAUAUGUAUAUAUGUAUGUAUCCCAUUAAUUUGAUGAAAGCUUAACCAAUGACAGGAACAACGACGACGAUGCCAUCAGCGUCAACGAAAACCCGCACACGGUUGCAAAAGAAAGGGCCACCGACGGGUUGAUUUAUAGGAAGAAUGAAGGCUGUCACCAACGAGUUCUCUUUCUCGAUCACCUUCACAGCCACUCGCCGGAAACCCCACCAGCUCCGCCACGAAUAUUCCCUAUACAUAUAUAUAUACAUACAUAAAAUUAGUUUAAUAUGAGAAGCUGCAUGCAUAUAUCUGUACAUAUCGACGUAUUAUAUUACCUUGACAAAUACUCAUCCUUGAUCACAGCAAAUUUAACUGAUCCUUAAAUUUGUGAAAUAGAAAUGGUUUGUGUUGUUUCUACUGCUAGCCAAAGAGAGUAUUUAUAAGGUAAAAAUGCAAUGUUCACAACGUGCAUGACAAAAUGUGGAUUAUCUUGUUUCUCUAU